AUUGAACGCUGGCGGCAUGCCUUACACAUGCAAGUCGAACGGCAGCAUGAUCUAGCUUGCUAGAUUGAUGGCGAGUGGCGAACGGGUGAGUAAUACAUCGGAACGUGCCCUGUAGUGGGGGAUAACUAGUCGAAAGAUUAGCUAAUACCGCAUACGACCUGAGGGUGAAAGUGGGGGACCGCAAGGCCUCAUGCUAUAGGAGCGGCCGAUGUCUGAUUAGCUAGUUGGUGAGGUAAAGGCUCACCAAGGCGACGAUCAGUAGCUGGUCUGAGAGGACGAUCAGCCACACUGGGACUGAGACACGGCCCAGACUCCUACGGGAGGCAGCAGUGGGGAAUUUUGGACAAUGGGCGAAAGCCCGAUCCAGCAAUGCCGCGUGUGUGAAGAAGGCCUUCGGGUUGUAAAGCACUUUUGUCCGGAAAGAAAUGGCUCUGGUUAAUACCUGGGGUCGAUGACGGUACCGGAAGAAUAAGGACCGGCUAACUACGU
rnacentral:rRNA from 1 species